rnacentral:rRNA from 1 species
GACGAACGCUGGCGGCGUGCUUAACACAUGCAAGUCGAACGAAGUGGCGAACGGGUGAGUAAUGCGUAAUCAACCUGCCCGUCAGAGGGGGACAACAGUUGGAAACGAAUGCUAUUACCGCAUACUGAAGGAGGGGAUUGCGUCUGAUUGGCUAGUUGGGGGGGGAACGGCCCACCGAGGGGAUGGUCAGUAGCCGGUCUGAGAGGAGGAACGGGCCCAUUGGGACUGAGACACGGGCCAGACUCCUACGGGAGGCAGCAGUGGGGAAUCUUCCGCAAUGGAGGAAAGUCUGACGGAGCAACGCCGCGUGAGUGAUGAAGGCCCUCGGGUUGGAAAGCUCUGUUAAUCGGGACGCGGUACCGGAAUAGAAAGCCACGGCUAACUACGUGCCAGCAGCCGCGGUAAUAC